GGAUUAGAUACCCUGGUAGUCCACGCCGUAAACUAUGGACACUUGGUGUCGGAGGUAUUGACCCCUUCGGUGCCGGAGCUAACGCGUUAAGUGUCCCGCCUGGGGAGUACGGUCGCAAGAUUAAAACUCAAAGAAAUUGACGGGGGCCCGCACAAGCGGUGGAGCAUGUGGUUUAAUUCGAUGCAACGCGAAAUACCUUACCUGGGUUUGAAUUGCAAUGGACAGCUCUAGAGAUAGAGUCUUUCUUCGGAACUGUUGUGAAGGUGCUGCAUGGCUGUCGUCAGCUCGUGCCG
rnacentral:rRNA from 1 species